CACGCCGUAAACGAUGAAUACUAGGUGUGGGAGGUACCAAUCCUUCCGUGCCGCCGUUAACACAUUAAGUAUUCCGCCUGGGGAGUACGGUCGCAAGAUUAAAACUCAAAGGAAUUGACGGGGGCCCGCACAAGCAGCGGAGCAUGUGGUUUAAUUCGAAGCAACGCGAAGAACCUUACCUAGACUUGACAUCUCCUGAAUUACCGGUAAUGCGGGAAGCCCUUCGGGGCAGGAAGACAGGUGG
rnacentral:rRNA from 1 species